UCCUACGGGGGGCAGCAGUGAGGAAUAUUGGUCAAUGGCCGGGAGGCUGAACCAGCCAAGUCGCGUGAGGGAAGACGGCCCUACGGGUUGUAAACCUCUUUUGUCAGGGAGCAAGAGGCGGGUCGAGACCUGCUGUGAGAGUACCUGGAGAAAAAGCAUCGGCUAACUCCGUGCCAGCAGCCGCGGUAAUACGGAGGAUGCGAGCGUUAUCCGGAUUUAUUGGGGUUAAAGGGUGCGCAGGCGGGGGCAC
rnacentral:rRNA from 1 species